CUCUAAUCAAAUCAACAGGAGCAUGGGGCACCCGGCAUCAGGUGUCAAAAGGAUUGGAGAGCAACAUGAGAUGAAGUGUUUUGCUCAAGAACACAAU